GACGUAGGGCGCGAGCGUUGUCCGGAUUUAUUGGGCGUAAAGAGCUCGUAGGCGGCUUGUCGCGUCGGCUGUGAAAACCCGCGGCUCAACUGUGGGCGGGCAGCUGAUACGGGCAGGCUGGAGUUCGGUAGGGGAGACUGGAAUUCCUGGUGUAGCGGUGAAAUGCGCAGAUAUCAGGAGGAACACCGGUGGCGAAGGCGGUUCUCUGGGCCUGUACUGACGCUGAGGAGCGAAAGCGUGGGGAGCGAACAGG
rnacentral:rRNA from 1 species